UAAGGAAUAUUGGUCAAUGGACGCAAGUCUGAACCAGCCAUGCCGCGUGGAGGAUGAAGGUCCUCUGGAUUGUAAACUUCUUUUAUCUGGGACGAAAACGGGAUUUUUAUCUCAAUUGACGGUACCAGAGGAAUAAGCACCGGCUAACUCCGUGCCAGCAGCCGCGGUAAUACGGAGGGUGCGAGCGUUAUCCGGAUUUACUGGGUUUAAAGGGUGCGUAGGUGGGCUUAUAAGUCAGUGGUGAAAUCUUCCGGCUUAACCGGGAAACUGCCGUUGAUACUAUUUGUCUUGAAUAUUGCGGAGGUAAGCGGAAUAUGUCAUGUAGCGGUGAAAUGCUUAGAUAUGACAUAGAACACCAAUUGCGAAGGCAGCUUACUACACAAUCAUUGACACUGAGGCACGAAAGCGUGGGUAGCGAACA
rnacentral:rRNA from 1 species